rnacentral:rRNA from 1 species
GAAGGUGUGCUGUGAGGCAUGCUGGAGGUAUCAGAAGUGCGAAUGCUGACAUAAGUAACGAUAAAGCGGGUGAAAAGCCCGCUCGCCGGAAGACCAAGGGUUCCUGUCCAACGUUAAUCGGGGCAGGGUGAGUCGACCCCUAAGGCGAGGCCGAAAGGCGUAGUCGAUGGGAAACAGGUUAAUAUUCCUGUACUUGGUGUUACUGCGAAGGGGGGACGGAGAAGGCUAUGUUGGCCGGGCGACGGUUGUCCCGGUUUAAGCGUGUAGGCUGGUUUUCCAGGCAAAUCCGGAAAAUCAAGGCUGAGGCGUGAUGACGAGGCACUACGGUGCUGAAGCAACAAAUGCCCUGCUUCCAGGAAAAGCCUCUAAGCAUCAGGUAACAUCAAAUCGUACCCCAAACCGACACAGGUGGUCAGGUAGAGAAUACCAAGGCGCUUGAGAGAACUCGGGUGAAGGAACUAGGCAAAAUGGUGCCGUAACUUCGGGAGAA